ensembl:lncRNA
AGCUGUACUGUCCCAACGCUCAGCUUCGGACGGUAAGCUUCACCCGUGUGCUUUCCUCUCUCGAGGGCUAUCUCCCCCAGAGCGGAACUACGACGUGGGAAAUCGGGAGCUCCUCGCCGUCAAGCUCGCGCUCGAGGAGUGGCGUCACUGGCUGGAGGGGGCGGAACUGCCGUUCGUCGUGUGGACGGACCACAAGAAUCUGAGUUAUAUCCAGUCUGCAAAACGUCUCAACUCCCGCCAGGCAAGGUGGGCGCUAUUUUUUGGUCGCUUUAAAUUCUCCCUUUCUUAUCGCCCGGGUUCCCGCAACACCAAGCCGGACGCAUUGUCCCGUUUGCACUCCGUGGACGGGGAGUGUUCUGUUUUGGACUCCAUUCUACCACCCACUUGUGUGGUGGGCUCAGUGGUCUGGAGGAUUGAGUCCUUGGUUACCCAGGCCCAGGCUCAUCAGGCCGAUCCGGGCACGGGCCCUCCCGGUCGGUUGUUUGUUCGGAUGCAGUCCGUUCAGACGUAUUACAGUGGGGUCACUCAUCGAGGCUGGCUUGUCAUCCCGGGAUCAACCGGACUCUGGCUUUCCUGCAACGCCGGUUCUGGUGGCCUACCAUGGACCGGGACACCAGGUCUUUCAUCGCCGCAUGUACCACCUGUGCGCGCAACAAGACAACCAACAAACCCGGUCGGGACUGCUUCGCCCGCUCCCCAUCCCCAGUCGUCCGUGGUCCAACAUCGCCCUGGAUUUCGUUACCGGUCUCCCUCCAUCCAGAGACCAACGGCCAGGCGGAGCGGGCAAACCAGGAACUGGAGGGCAUGCUACGCUGCGUCACAGCCGCCAAUCCCGCUUCAUGGAGCCUUCAUCUUCCUUGGGUUGAGUACGCACACAACACGCACAGAAAUGACACUACCGGAAUGUCUCCCUUUCUCUGCUCCCUGGGCUACCAGCCCC